AUUUGAUGCCAUCGACUAUCAGAUACCCGUCACAUUGAAAUGAGUACGUUACAUCGAAACGAGGCUUAUGUCCAUGUUUGUUCACUCCCAAAAUGAACCCGACUGAACGCUAUAUUUGAUGCCAUCGACUAUCAGAUACCCGUCACAUUGAAAUGAGUACGUUACAUCGAAACGAGGCUUAUGUCCAUGUUUGUUCACUCCCAAAAUGAACCCGACUGAACGCUAUAUUUGAUGCCAUCGACUAUCAGAUACCCGUCACAUUGAAAUGAGUACGUUACAUCGAAACGAGUCUUGUGUUCAUGUUUUUUCACUCCCAAAAUGAACCCGACUGAACGCUAUAUUUGAUGCCAUCGACUAUCAGAUACCCGUCACAUUAAAAUGAGUACGUUACAUCGAAACGAGGCUUAUGUCCAUGUUUGUUCACUCCCAAAAUGAACCCGACUGAACGCUAUAUUUGAUGCC